CUUUCCCUUUGGUUCUUUGCAUUGUUUUUAAAUGGUUUGCAGAAAGGUAUUGAUGAGAACUGGGCAGCUGCUCUUGAACACAAUCCUGAAGCUUUUGCAAGGGUGGUCAUGUUAUAUGUUGACAUGGAAGUCAAUGGUGUCCCUUUGAAGGCGUUCGUUGAUAGUGGUGCUCAGUCAA